rnacentral:rRNA from 1 species
CCUACGGGGCGCAGCAGUCGAGAAUCAUUCACAAUGGGGGAAACCCUGAUGGUGCGACGCCGCGUGGGGGAAUGCAGGUCUUCGGAUUGUAAACCCCUGUCAUGUGGGAGCAAAUUAAAAAGAUAGUACCACAAGAGGAAGAGACGGCUAACUCUGUGCCAGCAGCCGCGGUAAUACAGAGGUCUCAAUCGUUGUCCGGAAUCCAUGGGCGUAAAGCGUGCGUAGGCUGUUUCGUAAGUCGUGUGUGAAAGGCGAGGGCUCAACCCGCGGACGGCACAUGAUACUGGGAGACUAGAGUAAUGGAGGGGGAACCGGAAUUCUCGGUGUAGCAGUGAAAUGCGUAGAUAUCGAGAGGAACACUCGUGGCGAAGGCGGGUUCCUGGACAUUAACUGACGCUGAGGCACGAAGGCCAGGGGAGCGAAAGGGAUUAGAUACCCCAGUAGUC